UAUUCUGCCCCAUGGGGAAGGAUGAGAACCUCCGGCGGAGGUUCGACUCGAGCGAAGCGAGAGAACGUUGCGUCAGCAACGGCCCGCAGGGCGAGCCACGAAGUGGUGAGUCAUCCUUCCCCCACCACCA
rnacentral:sRNA from 1 species